rnacentral:rRNA from 1 species
UACGGAGGAGGCUAGCGUUGUUCGGAAUUACUGGGCGUAAAGCGCACGUAGGCGGCUUGGUAAGUUAGAGGUGAAAGCCUGGAGCUCAACUCCAGAAUUGCCUUUAAGACUGCCGAGCUAGCAGGUGAGAGAGGUGAGUGGAAUUCCGAGUGUAGAGGUGAAAUUCGUAGAUAUUCGGAAGAACACCAGUGGCGAAGGCGGCUCACUGGCUCAUACUGGACGCUGAGGUGCGAAAGCGUGGGGAGCAAACAGG